UAGCAUAUCAAGUUCAUCACGAAGCGCAGAAGCAGCACGGUGAUCUCCUGUGUCUUUCAAGUUAACUUGUCUUAAAUCUGGAGAGAAUCUUUUCUCUCUCAGCUUGUUGGUUGGAGGAUCGAUUGGUGGUAUAGGUGAAGGAGUCCUUACAGGCUGUUGGGUACUUGGUAUUGACGGUGGAGGACGAGAUGGGACAGUUGGUCUUCCUGCUGAUGUUGAACGAAGAGACGGCAAUUCCUCAACAAUAUUCCUAGCUAGCGCAGGUGAAGAUGAUCUGGUAUUUAACUUAGCCGACUGAAUAACAGGGUUGAUAGCAUUGCUAUCACUAGAGCUAUUGGCAGCAGUGCUGACCUUGGACCUGGAAAAAGAGGGAGGUGGAGGAGCGGAAAAUCGGAAUCCUAGAUCAUCAUCACCAUCUUCAUCGUCAUCAUUGCCAGUGGCUGCUUGAGAGGCCAUGACUUGAGCAAGGCGCUGGGCAGCAGCUUUGGCAGCAACAUUCUGAGUGCGCUUAAUGUUAGACAUUCCGGUGAUAGAGGAA
rnacentral:misc_RNA from 1 species